GACGAACGCUGGCGGCGUGCUUAACACAUGCAAGUCGAACGGUGAACGAGGGAGCUUGCUCCCUCCGGAUCAGUGGCGAACGGGUGAGUAACACGUGAGCAAUCUGCCCCGAACUCUGGGAUAAGCGUUGGAAACGACGUCUAAUACCGGAUACGACGCGGGAGGGCAUCCUCUCCGCGUGGAAAGAACUUCGGUUCGGGAUGAGCUCGCGGCCUAUCAGCUUGUUGGUGAGGUAACGGCUCACCAAGGCGACGACGGGUAGCCGGCCUGAGAGGGUGACCGGCCCCACUGGGCCGGGGCACGGGCCCAAACCCCUCGGGGGGGCAGGGGGGGGGAAUUUGGCACAAGGGGCGAAAGCGUGAUGCAGAAACGCCGGGGGGGGGACGACGGCCUUGGGGUUGUAAACCUCUUUUAGCAGGGAAGAAGCGAAAGGGACGGUACCGGCAAAAAAAGCACCGGCUAACUACGU
rnacentral:rRNA from 1 species